AGCAGGUCGAGGUCUUGCAGAAGAAGUUUGACGACUUCCAGAAGGACCUGAAGGCCAACGAGUCCCACCUGAGGGACAUCAACAAGGUGGCAUCUGAACUGGAGUCAGAAGGUCUGAUGGCUGAGGAGGCUCCUAUGGUUCAGGCUCAGCAACAAGAACAUCUGGGUUCUGCUCCUGGAAAGGAUGAAGCCGACUCUAACCCCGGCUUUCCACAGGAGUCGUCAGCAGCACGUUACUGCAGCAGCACGUCAUAGCUGCUGAUAGGAACCGCUGUGGUCAACAGAACCUUUUCCACCGGAGCCGUCAGCAGCGCGAGUCGGCCACGUCUCAGGAGCAGCAUGUCGCGGCCUUUACGCGCCGGUUCUAUUUUCUACGCGCGACGCCUCUGAAACGGGUCAAGUUCGACAUUUUUGGGGAAGGAAAGACAGGAAAUCAGACGCGGAAAUUGAGAGAAGCUACCGAGAUUUUCAGAAUAAAGAACGUACUGCCUUCCGGUUGCUUUACUUUUAAAAACAGUUACUAACUGUGCGGCCCCGUGAGAAGUUAUCACCUAGCUAGCGGUCUCCUUUGUUUUUCAGGUCCGUAUUGGCGAUUAUAAAACAGACAGAACAUAAAACACAAACCAUGUUGUAGUUUUCUCCUGCUUGUUGUUGUGUUUACUGACGAAGUCACUCGAGUGACUUCGUGCUCGGUCGGUGACAGCUGCUCCCCUGCUGCUUCGCGUCUCGUGGGAAGGGCCAAGCAGCAGCUUACGCCAGCAAGACGUGCUGCUGCAGUAACGUGCUGCUGACGGCUCCCGUGGAAACCCGGGGUAACACGGCGUCACCCUAGAAGGUGAGUUCAUUCAGCUGAUCAGAGGUCACCUCUGAUGGCCGCAGUCACGGCCGACCGUGCUGAAAUCACACAGGAAUUCAGGUGACCCGGCAGGCACCAGGUGCUGGUGAAAGUGGGGACAUGUCAGCUGGUUGCCAUGGCUACAGUUAUCUUUAUGCAUCUGUAUGACUGCUGACUGGUGUGUGUUUCCUGUGACCUUUGACCUCAGACCGUACGGUUGGGCGUUCAGACGACGGCUAACUUUAAUUCCAUCAAGGUAAGAGGAAGCUCUUCCCUUCCUGUCUGAGCGAUCUGUCUCCAGGUUUCCUCGUCCGGCGUCCAGCCCGCUGGCGUCCACCUUCAUCUCACUGGG